GGCCCAGCCGGACCACGAGGGGAGCGAGGCAGAGACGGGCCCCCGGGGCCACCGGGAAUACGAGGAAUUGAUGGUCUGCCUGGGCCACCAGGACCAACGGGUGCUGUCGGGCGCCCAGGCCCACCAGGAUUCCCGGGGUCGCCAGGAAUAAAGGGUGACGCAGGCGGC
rnacentral:lncRNA from 1 species